AACCAGUGGACUGAACUGUUGAUGGGGGGCGGGGGUGGAAGGAAGGGGACAUGCAGAGCAAUAUCCAAAGUGCCAAUACUAAUCAGGCUAGUUUAUGCUACAGAGUAUUUCAGAUGCACUGCUUUACACAAGCUCCUGCAAACCAAGUUGAAGUUUGUCAUAAUGUCCUCCUCAUUCUUAAGAGGUUGUUCAGAUAAGAAAUGCAGAGAAAAGCCAAAGAAAUGUGAAAAGAGGCAACAUGCAGGGAAGCAACUUUCUGCAGUUCUCAGGCAAAGCCUGGUCUAUCACCUAUAGUCCUACUGCAAGAUCUUCUCUGAGGGCCCAUUCCUUCAUAUUGCUACCUCUGAACUUAAUUUCAUCUCUAUAAGCCAUCUCUCCCUUGGAAACAUCCCACUUGUCAAGCAUAAAGUCAAUUUCUCUAAGCUGAAUUAAAGUCAGACUAAAUACUUCUCUAGCUUAACACAGGGCAAGUUUAGACCUAAAGGGAAUUCUCCUAUUUAGCCUUAAGAAGCACUUUGUAUUUGCCUAAAUUCUAAGGACUAUAUUGACACAAAGCUCAAGAUCCCAGCACAAACACCCACACCCAUUUUAAACAGGUCUUGAUGGUUUUUUAUCCUUCUUGUAGGGGGCCAAAUGUAAAGAGUACCCUGGAGGCUCUAUCUGAAAUAGGACAUUGCUUACUAUAGGCCUGAGCCAGUGGAGAACUGGAAAGCUGUGAAAUGCAUGUAAUCCACCCCUCCCUGGGAACAUUUGUGAACAUGUGUGUGUGAAGUGGCUCACUUGCCAGAUGCACACUCUUUCCACUAGGGAAGGUGGACAGGGAGGAAAAGAAAACUACUCAUGAAAUUCUUCCUGGAAGGUCAAAAGCUAGAUGCAGUUCUACAUUCCCUUGUGGGUAUGUGGCAAGACAAUGCUUUGGCUUUGGCACAAUAAGAAGUUGGGCAUCAGGCUUAAAUACAGCAGAAUCUCUCUUGCACAUGUGCUUACAUGCAGCUGCCUAGAUUUUAGCAACAAGCAUAUCAGAGAAAGGAAAUUAUGGCCUUGCCCCCUUCCAAUCCUCAGAUGCAACUGAAGAUGGUGCAAGAAUGUGGUAACCGUAUCCCUUAAUCCUCACUGAUUGAAAAUAUUAACAACUCCUACCUAUGUCAGCCUAUGUGGAUUCCCUGCUGUUUCUGUCCUUCCAAAGUGCUCCUAAGGCAUGGCCCUGGGGCAGUUCACACCAGACAAAGUAAUUUAAUGAUUGACAGUUUUGUCUUAGAAACCAAUUCCAUUCCCCUAGAUAAGACAUUUUGCAGUCAAUAAUUGUUAGAGUCCAAUAUUUAGAGCUCAUGAGAGAUCACCCCAAGUCAUUCAGACUGGAUAGCAAGGCAUCAGUAAAAUUCCUGAACACCAUUCAUAAGUUGUUUGAUAAAGAGCACAUUUUUCAUAUCUGAGUAGCAUUUUGUGACUCCACCAAUAUCAAAAAUAUCCACUGUGAUAUUUUUGAAAUUAUUCAAAUUAUUCAAAAAUAUCAAAAUUCAAAAAUUCAAAAAAAUUUGAAAUUAUUCAAAAAUAUCCAUCUUUGAAAUUACAAGCUUUGUACACAUUUCAUUGUCUGACCAUCCUGGCAGCUUUAUAGUUAAGGCAUUCUCAACUGCAGUAUCACUCGGCUACAUUUCUGCUAUUUCAUGCAGUGGUUAGAAGAUGGCUACCAAAAGACUGGAAGUUCUUAAUGCAGCAACACCAGAGACAAGUCCCAUGAAGAGCAGAGAUGUGGAAAUCAAUUAGUGACGACUCACAACAGUAGCAAGGCAAGGAGUAAAGAGCCAAAAGACUCCCUUGGAAACAUUUAACACCUUUCAGAUGGGUGCAAGAAAGGAUCUUCCAGACCUAGUGAGAUAAUGAUUGCCAUUAAUUUAGACACAAAGCGACAGCAAGGACUAACCCAUGCAGAAGUCAAAUAAGUAAAAGAAUGAGGAGGCGGAGCUUGUAGGAGGCGAACACAUUCAAGAUAUAGCAUAUGGAUACAAAUAACUACUAGUGUAAUGAAAAAGAUGAACCCUCAGGACACAAAACAGUGCUUACGUAAUAUGACCACUCUGAAACCUGGGAUAAGGUGGGCUAAGUUUACAGUAUCAAGAAAGGAAUUAAGAUCUGCCAUGAAUUUCAAAAUAUUAACUGGUCACGGAAAAUACUAUACAAUUCCAAGCUGGUAAUAUUUUAUGUCACUUCAGUCAAAUGAACUAAGACAGACAAGAGAGUUUAAUUGCAAAGUGUUUUAUAUGUUACAGAUAUUUUUUUCUUUUUUUUAAGCAAAGGUAGCAGUGUUGACCAUAAAAAUUUUUCCAAAAUCCAUGUUGCUUAAUACCUUUAUGAGGCCAACCAUAACAUCCUUCCCUGCCUCUAAAAAAUGCGAAUACUUUUGAGGUCUUCAGAGAUGUGCAGAUCCCAAACAUUUGCACAUUUUUCAAGACAGCAAUUAUCUUUCCACAUAACCUCUUAAAUUUUGCCUUCUUAAUGAUGUUAGAACAGUUCCCAAAUUUUUCAUUGGGAUUACCUUUCAAAUAAUUUUGAACUCCAGGCCCAACUGGAACUCUUUUGCGGCUUCUGCUGCACUAUUACUUGGUACAAGACUCUAACAAUGUGCUAAUAUUGGGAAAAAUUUCAGAAGCCACUUCUGUUAAGAUACCAUUUUAAUACUUUUUCAGCAGUAGAGCUAUAUUAAUAAUCAACACCAAAAAAGGGACUUUCAUAGAGGCAGUUUUAAAAAUACCCUGUCCUGUUAACUAUGCAUGUAGACCAGAGGUCCUCAAACUUUUUCAAUAGGGGGCCAGUUGAAAGGUGGUGGCUACCAGUGUGGGCCAGUGAAGAGGAGAAGCCUGGCGCAUGGGCCAGUGAGGCAUUAUUGGGCAUGCGUGAGGCGGUGUCAGGUGCGCGAGGCUGUGUCGGGUACGCGCGACGGUGGCUUGAUCGGUCGGAGAUCUCCCAACAAGCCCAAAACCACGGCAGCACGGGCCAGAUAAAUGGGCAUGGCAGGCCAGAUCCGUCCCGCGGGCCAUAGUUUGAGGACCCAUGAUGUAGACUGUCGGCGCAUAAUGGCAGUAUAUUGUGCAUUCACCCCAUAAUUAUUCUAUAGUGUCCAGGUUCAGGCAUAACAUAGUAACCUCUAGCUGGCCUGAUCAGAGGUCACAUGCAAAACGGCAGUGGCCUAUGCCCACUCCACCCUGCAGCAAAUUGUGCUUUAACCAACCAACCAUCUGGUUCCAUUGCAUGCAAACUGGAGCAUAGAGAUAGUGUGGAUGUGUGAAAUACUCCAAACAAAAGGCAACAUGACCAAUACUCCACCAUCAUGUGCUUGCAGAAAAGUAAGUAAAUGCAGAGCUGUAAAAAAAUGUUUGAGGAGUGUAACACACGGCAGGGGUGGCCAAACUGAGGCUCAUGAGCUGCAUGAGGCUCUUUGAGUUUAUUUUGCAGACUGCUGCCCAUGAGCACCUGUCUGCCACUCGCUGCCACCACCACCCACUUGCGGUUCUCAAACAUCUGGCAUUUACUGUACAUGGCUCUUCUGCUAAGCAAGUCUGGCCGCCCCUAACCUAUGGAGUGUAUUCAGAUGCACCUUCUGAUACCUUACCACGCUUCACAUGGAGGAACCUUAUGAAACACAUGGCAAGGAUGUUUCCAUAGUAUGUUGCUGGGUUACAACUCCGCGUUCUUGAGCAGGAAGCAGUCCAGAAUUUUAAUGCAUCAUAUUGAACAAGCCAGGAACAUUAGUUGUUUUCCAAACCAAGUGCAAAGCGAUAAAUGGGAGGAAGGCAGCACAAAUUCCUGCACUGGCCCAACCAUCCAUAGUUGGUCAUUAUGUGCAUAGCGGGUCAUUAUGUUUGACAGAUGGUCAAUUUUUAGAGAAUGAAUACAUACUUUAAUGUUAUUACAUUCAACAAUUUUAAGGCAGGUUGUUUUUAAAAGGAUACUUACAGCUCAGUCCAACAGGAAUGUCACUCUUUCGAUGGAAGGCUCAGAAAUCAGAGCCCUCCAUCCAUCCAUAGCCCUUCAACAACAGAGGCAAGAAUACCUCCUAUUUCACCUUUAAAAAAUUCCCAUCUAGCUGAUUUACCUCACUGGCACCAGGGAUGGGCAACUGAAAAGCCUGUGGAACCAUGGGAUUCACAUCUCUUCCCUCUUCAACACUGUCCUGUUCCCUUUAUUUCCUCCUUAACCCUCCUUCCAAAGUCACAAAAAUAAUCACAAUCACAAUCAUGCAUUUAUAUCUGCUUAACUUUAGCACAAGGCUGAAGUACAUGUAGCCUAUGUUAAAAGGUGCAUCACUUGGUGAAAGAAAACAAUGUGUGUACAUUAAAAGGAAACCAAUGUUGUGGGUUGACUCCAGAUGGAGUCAGUCACACUUAUGUAACAUUUAUUUCAUAGGGACUAAACACACAUUCCUCCAACUCCAAUCUGGUGUGUUCCCCUUGGCAUACAACACGGUGCUGCAGCAGCCUGACAGAAGCGGUCCUUCUGGCCUGCAGCAUGUGCCAGAGAAGUGGCCUGAUCUAAUAUGAUCACAAAGGUGGCCUAGAAAUAAUUUUAGAAGGGUGAAACUGAUGGGCCAAGAAUAUGUCCACUUCUCCUUUUGAAGGAUAACCAAUGCUGAAUGCAUGCAGGCUAUUUUAAAUUUACAGCUGGCUACAAUUAUUUUACGAAAGCAAACAAGCACAGUUAACAUGAGGCUUUAGAUUUUGUCCAUACUGCAUUUGGUAGCUGAAAGAAGGUAGCAGGAAUAGUAAUAACUAUUGAAGCUAAGCAGCAGAAUUUUCUAAGUUUCUGUACUUCUUCAACCUGGUGCCCUCUGGGUGCGUUGGACUGCAACAUCACUAUUCCCAGCCACCUGGCUUGGAAAGAUGGAAGCUGCAAUCCAACACACCCUGAAGUACCAAGCUGGGGACAGGUGAUCUAGCUAAUUCUAAAUCCCAAAGAUCUGGAGGCAGACAUCCAGACCUGGCUGUUUAAAGCUGAGCUAACAGACAGAAAGCAGGCAUGAUUUCAAUUCUGAUGACUCAGAAGGCAAAGAAAAGUUGCAUUGAACAGCAACAGAUACGCCCCAAAAGAUCAUACUGCCAUAAAAUAGGGAAGUCUGGAUUUUGACAAGUGAAGGUUCAGGCUACAGAACCCAAAGUAGGGCAGACUGCUAAAUUCACACUGGCUGCAACAUAAGAACUCUAGUCUCUUCAGUUUACAUAGAUACAUAAGAGGCUAUCACCAUCUACAUUGGGUUGCUCUUUCUGCUAAAUACCAGGCUAAGCCACUAAAGAAAAAUGAGAACCCUGGAAAGAGAUCAAAAUCAGAGUACAUAUACUCGUAUUUUUAGCAGAUGGCACCCUCUGGCGUACACAUAUAGCCUCAACAACGAAAAAAGACUAAGGGCAGGCCUCCAGCUACUCUGCAAGACAGACUUUGCUUGGGCUGACAACAGGAUUACACAAAAUAAGGGUAUGUCUGCUUAGAAAACGCAUGUCAAAUACAAGGUUUCCACUUGAAACUUAAAGCACAAUUCUGUCUAAAAUAUUCAAGUUGGGAUACUAAUAAAACUACUAAAAUAAUAUGCUAAAAAAAUAAAGAGUAGAGGGAGGGAGGAAUGUAUGCUUACCAAAUUAAGUUGUUAAAGGUGUUUUCCCUCCAAUAAUUUCAUAUAAAACACAAUCCUAACCUGGCUAAUUCAAUCCUACUGAUAUUUCUGUUGCUCAAAGGAUUUUUAAUCUUUUUUUUUUAAGAUGUUGAAUUUCUUGCAAUUUGCCUAUAGAAAUGAAAAGGUUGCAAAAUGCAUCAAACUGCAGCAUGUACAACCCAGCUACUUCCAAACUAAGUAACUACGAAUGCAAGGCAAACUAAGAGUGCAAUCCAUACAUUUCUAUGCAAUAGUAAGUCCCACUGCAUUCAGUGGAGGUUGCUCUCAGAUAAAGGCACACAGGAUUACUGUUUAAAUUAAAUUAUGCCCAGUCGAUAUUUUACUUUGUGGUUUAAAUAUCAAACCAAAAAAGCCUAUGUUCCAGAUCCUAGAAUCUAGGGAUUUUUAAAAUUCUUAUCCACUUAAAACUAUUUUGGGGAUAAUUAGAGAUAUAAGAACUCUUUUAUCUGAGGCACUUUUUGUUAAUUGGCUCUCAGACAGCUGAGGCAACAUUUUAAAUAGCUCAGUCAAAUGGGUAUGUCCAGACCACAGUGGUUUUUCCACAAGAUCAGCACCUUACCUUCUGACUGAUUCAGACUUAUCAUACAAUACUGAUUCAGUGCUUGGAACCAAUGCAUCCAAUUCUUGCUAACACCUAAGCGGUUGGGUCACUUAAGAAACCCCAGCAGGGCAGAAGGCAUUAAUCAUAAAAGCAGUUCUCACAUAGUUGUGGUACAACAUAUAGGCCCCAGAAUUCACACCCUUCUGAGAUACUUGGAAUAAAACACAUUAUUUUAUUUUAACCAGUAAUUUACUGGUUAUUUUACUUAAAGCAUAAGUGUGAUGGCUUCUUGUGCCUAAAGUGUGAUAACUUUGUCAAAACUUUCAUAUUCACCUUCACCUCCAACCAAAUCCCUCUAGAAAAAGUGUUGUGCAACCUUAACAAUCAUGGGCUAAGAAGGUCCUUUUUGGUUAUAUAUCAGAACCUAGAAAGUGGGAAUAAAUUGUCAUUUCUCAUAAUGAAAUAAUGUAAACUGCAGAGUCCUGCAGGGAUGGUUACUGGAAGCGGUGCUUAUUUUUAACUAGCUGAGAAAUGAACUGGAGUCACAGGUAAGCAGUAAGGUGGCCAAGUUUGCUGACAACACCAAAACACUUAGGGUGGCUAGAAAAAGAAGGGACAGCAAAGAGUUCCAAAAAGAGCUCUCAAGUUGGGGGAACGGGCAUUGAAAUGGCAAAUAUGACUCGGUGUACACAAGUGUGAAAUGAUGUACAGAGGGAUGGCCUCCCACACCCUCAGCUUCACAUAUACAGUGAUGAGGUCAGAGUUGGUGUGAUUGAUCAAGGAAGGCAUCUUAGUUGUGGUGAGUGAAAAUGUUAAUCCAGUGCAAGACUACUGAGAAAAAGGUAAUGUUCCGUGCUGUGGAACAUUAGAGGAGGAAAAUAAAGAAGGCAAUAUAGUAUUAGGGAGCAUCCAACUAUGCCCUACCAUUAUUAUUUGCUAAAGCAAUGGAAAAAAGUGAUGAUUUAACACCAAUUUCCAAUGCCACACCACCACCUUUUCCCCGCACCAACCUAGUAAGCACAAGUUUCACUGCACAAGUGUUGCUUUAUGUUUGUGCAAUACCAUAUUGCAUAAUACCAUGCAAUAACCUUGCAGCAUUCAGACAGGCACUUGGUUCCCAUGUCCAGCUUCUCCAUCUUCCCUUCAAAUGAUGGCAUACCAAAUGGUAUCCCAUCAGCCCUCACAGCUCAAAAUCAAUCCCAGUGUGCACUGUUCCUGCCUACAUCGCCUGCCUCUCCUUCACUGGCCCACAUGCUCCCCUGGGCAUGGCCUCAGCCAGCUGCCCUGUUUUGCUGUUGUUUUUCUGCUGCUAAGUGAAGCGCCUGCCUACCCACUAGAGUAGCACUGUUGUCCUACAGCAAUACUACAGGAGCUCUCCCCUGUGCUGCCCUGCGCCAGCGUGCAAGCAUACACACCCACCUCUCCCCACUCCCUUGUUGCACAUGUGUCCACACACACACACACACACACUGCGUUCAGGGCUCCCCUUUGAGCCAGGCACUCAUGCCAGGGUUGGAGGAUGUGCACCCUGCCAGGCAGACUUUCACAAGGGUUUCAGCAUUUGCCCAGGAAAGUUUUCUGGCAGGCUGUUAGAACAGUGUUUGUCCUGCAGCUAUGGAGGGUGGGAGACUGUGGGACUUGUUGACAGUCCUGAGAAAUGUCAGAAGCAAGAGAGAAACAGAGGGGAGGACAGGAGACGCGAGCUUUUCAGGGUGAUUGCCCUGAUGGGUAUGCCACACCCAGCCUUGGGCGUAUGGCAGCCUUCACAUGAAGAGACCGCUGGUGCCCUGAGUGGCACAAGCACAGAGUCAUGCCAAAGUGCCACUCCUGUAAAGUGCAGUGACCAGACUGGAGCCGCAAGCAUAGCUGCUUCCACAGCUGCUCUUGCUGGAGGCAACAGGGCACAAUGCCCGCUGCUGGAGAGAUCCCAUUAGGCAUCAAAAGCCAGGCAGAUCUGGACAGUGACAGGCAUAGCCAGGAGCAUCUGCGGUACCCACACCUGUUCCUGCUACAGUACUCAAUAAUCAAACACUAAGACCAAAACUGUUUCUGGUUUCAGACAGUAAAACAAAUAAUGAAGCAUGGAAACCUUAGAAAAAGCCUGUCUCUGCAUGGUUCCACAUAGACCAAGAUGUGCCAUGCUUCACCCAUGCCUGCAAGGUUCAGACAUAAUAAGCCACACUCUCUGGUUUCUACUGUUACUUCUUGUUAUAUGCGAAUCCAUGAUGUGUCUUUAAACACAUCUAGCAUGUAACCACGGUUAGAAUAACACACAUCAUUCUGGCCACUUAUAUGGCUCUUCUUAGAUUCAGAUUCAAAAAUUAUAAUAAUCCUAUCAUUUAUUUAUGUAUUGAUUUGAUUGUACCUAACCUUUCUACCAAGGAAAAUGCAAGUUCUCAAACUAAGCUCAAUACUUUAUCGGUUUAUUGCCUGGACACCAAAGUGGAGAACAUUUCUUUCCAAAGUCAGGUAUCUAUAGCAGUUUGCUCUUUGCAGGCCAAGAACUACUAAAUUAGAACUACACUGAGCUAGUUGAGAAUCAACAAAGAUCAAAAAGUUGGUAGAAAAUGUAGCGUAAAUCCCCAAGUGUUCCUUUAUGAAAUCUGACAAAUGAUGAGAAAGCACAAUACAAACCCAGGGAAACAGCAGUAACACCUUCAGAAACAUUAUAGUUCUAAUCUUCCUCCAGUCAUUCCCAAACCAUGUGUUGGGGUUCAGAGUUGAAAGUGCUGGAGGAAGUGAAAAGCUCUGGAGAAGAUUUGGAUUGCUUCUUUACAAUCAGCCUCCUCUGAAAGCAGUAAAUUCUGCUGUCUGCAUUCUGAGUUAUUAAAUUAUAUGCAGACACACAACCUGCCUUCAUAUUGUCAGAUCUCACCCAAUUGUUCUUCAUCAUGUCCCAGAACCUCAACAUGGAAACAUCAACCAAACCCAACUGAAACAAUGUAUACUAGUCAUCCUUGGUCUCUGUGAACUUGCCUGAGAGGUUGUUUUACAUUAGGGGCAGAGAGUCUCUGACUUGUGGGCCAAAACUCGCCCAGAAGGAGAAAAGGGAGAGGGACCAUGAGCUGUGGCUCAGUUAACUUCUCUCGUCUCUCAGCUUCCCUGUGUGGGACAACAGAGAAGCAAAGCUGGAGGAGAGCAAAGGAAGUUCACCAGCUGAGCUGGAUACCCAAUUACAUUAGUGGAGAUAUCAUGGAUAACAAUCCACCCACUGAUAUUACCUGAUUGCCCUGAACCCAAGGGAGGCAAUCCCCAGACUGAAAUAGGGUGCCCACCAUGUGUUACAUAUGCAGGUGAUGUUCAAAAUGUUACAGAACAAAACCUUUGAAUAUAAUUCCUAUUGCUUGUGCAACAGAAGUUUUUUGAUAAAUUAGAUCUCAUGACUAUCCAAAAUCUUAUGAUUUUAUACAAGAAAUAUAGAACUUUACUCAUUCAUUUAGGUCAACCUUGAUGCUAAGUUCCUACUCUAUACCAGACUCUGGAAACAUUAAAUUCAAACUUAACAUUUCAAAAAUUGAAAUUUUCUGGACUUCACAGCCACAAAGAAAUUCCUGAAUUUGCACACUUUGUUUAGAUGCCUUUACAUUUCUAAAUGGGUUCUGAAUACUAAAAGCAGGGGUGAGAAGACUUUCAGGAUUUAGUAUAUUUUUCACUAGGACCCAAAAGUCCACCAACCAGACUUGUGUCUCAGAAAAAUGGGCUAAGAAUUGCAGAACAAGUUGCCUAAGACAAUGGGGUUAGGGGGUUCAACAAUAUACUUUCUCAAAUUGUUUUCCUCCAAAUUUGUUUGAUUUUAUCAGCUCAUUUAGGAAAAAAGAAAAAGCUUUUUCUUGUUGGUAUUCUUAAACCAUUGGGAGUUCCCAAGCCCCUCGCUGAUGUGCUUUAAAUCAUUCGGAGAACUAUCAGCAGAUCCCAACUAACCUUCCUUUCCCGCACUCAAUUUAGAUAAUAUUUGAUGUUGUGUUGUCUAUACACCCUUUAUAUUUUAUGAGCCAAAGCAUUCUUUACCUACUCCACAGAAAACAAAACCAUAGUUAGCAAGCAAAAGCAGCCCAGAGACUUUUAGUAAUGGAAUGGCAUAUAAAAACUUUAAAUAAAAAAAAUAAAAAUAAAAAGCAAAAGUCAGCUUAAUGAAAGCUGCUCCAUUUAUUCCAUGAGCUGUAAUCAUUCAGCUUCUAGCCUCUAAAACAGAAAGCAUCUAUUAUUAGAGGUAAAUUGAUAAAUAUGUAGCUGUGAAAUUUUGAAAGUCAGUUGACUUAAGCAUGAGCUUAUUGUUAUGAAGAGCAGUCUCCCUUAUCAAAAUGGGAUGGGUGACCCAAUGGCAUGGCAUGGCGUCUCAUUUCUUACAUUUUCUAUACUGCCAAACAGCCAAAGCCCCCUGGGCAUGGGCAGAGAAGAGAUUUUGCCCUCACUACAACAGUAUUUUGGCACGCAGUUCUAUGCUUUCCCUGUAGGAAUGACCUACAACAAUUUAAUUAUAAGACAAGGAAAGUAAAGAGGGACAUUUGGAAAACCAUGGGUUUCCUGCUUUCUGUCACCCAUACCCAGUGAAGAUCACGCCUCCUCACAUGAGUACAGCCUCACUACAAUGCAAAACAAGUGUGGACAACCGAAAGCAUGUGAGGUUUUCUUCCCUCUUUCCAUUAAUAGCUUUGGAGGAAUGCAAGCAGUUGAUUUGUCAGGGUCUUCAAUGUUGAGGAGAAUAAUUUUAAGAAAAUAAGAAUGCAGCAUCAACACAUUCCAUCCUGAAUUAUACCUUUGUUCCCUUUUCCCACCCCACAUCUAAACAUCUGUUAGUCGGCAUUUCACAACCUUAUGUUCUGCAAAUAUAUUGGACUACAAGUUCCACCAUCACUUAACCAGCAUGACCUUUGUAGUUCAACAUAACUGGAGGGUACCAAAUUGGGAAAGGCUGCCCUAAGCAAACUUUCCCUGCUGAUAAAAGUAGGCUGAAAUCAGAUAAAACUAAUUUAUGAAAGGUUCGACUUGAAAUUGUCUGCAAAAAUAGAAUGGUAACAUGGAGGCAAGUGUUGUAUGUGUCUGAUCUACCCUGUCUGAUAUAACUGGAGGAGUUCUUGUUGCUAACCAGCCAGCUGAGCCUAUUUGUUCUCUAUUUGGGAAAAACGGGAUCCUGAGUUUGUUCAGGGGAGGGGUAAAGAUACUGCUGUAUUCUGAAUCAAAGCACUGGCAAUGGAGAUAUUAAAUACUGUCCUGCUAAAUAUUCAGAUAGAGCCAUUUACCACACAGAAUAUUUGAGAAACUGCUGAGGUGGUUGGGCAGGCAGUACAUAUAGCCAAUCUUAGUAGUGUGCACUGCUAGGCAUAUAUCCAUUUACAGGACAGGUGCAAAGAUUAGUCUGACCUCAGAGCUGGAGAGACAGACAUAGCUGUUCAGGUCAUUCUCCAGACUGCAGCAAAGCAUUUUGUUCAUUUGCCAUUUAAACUUCACUUACAUGUUAAAAACCCUUAGUACUACCUGACAACAUAGGAAAAAUAGAACUUAUUAAUUUUCCACAACUUUAAGCAUAUUGCAUUUUUUAAAAUUCCUAAAUUUUCUACAUUCAGAGAGCCCUUUCUCCAGAGAUCUGUUUGCCAUGGGCUCCUGACACAUCUGGAGCGAUGUGGCAUGGAAAAAUGUCCAGUGCUUCAUUUUUUCACAGAAAAUUUACUAUUUGUAAGUUCAUUCAUAAAAACAAAUUAUGUCAGUUGCAAAUACAGUAUAUUAGGCAAGUUUGGCACUUUCAAGUUGCAUUUAUUUUAGUUAAUGGCCAUAGCCCAAAGGCUCUCUCGGUGGCUCACAAACAAACGAUAUACAGAAUAAAAUAAGCAAUAAUACACCAUCCUAAAACAAUGGCAACAAGAGAUACUAUACAUGGCAAAUAGAAGCAAGCAAUAAGAAAACAUAUGAAAUGAAAAUGUCUUCACCUGGCAAUGGAAACUAAACAGGGAGGCCGCCAGUUAGGCUUCCUUAGGGAGGGCAUUCCAAAGGCAAGGUGCAAAGACUGGAAAAAGUCCCUUGCCUUGUUGGUUCCCCUUUACUUCAUGGGGGUGGGGGCUCGCUCAGAGGGGCAUCCAUGGAAGCUCUUAAUGGGUCUGGUAGGGAUAUAUGGAGACAGGCGCUCCUUCAGAUUUCCUGACCCCAAGUCGUGAAGGGCUUUGAAUGUUAAUGUAAGCAGCACCAACAGGCAGCCAGCGCAGCUGACAGACGACUGGCAUGAAUGUUCGUUCUCUAGGACAGGUCCUCGUUAAUAGCUGCACUGCUCCGUUUUGAAUUAGUUGGGACUGCCCGGACCAUUUUCAAAGGCAGCCCCAUGUAGAGCAUAUUACAGUAAUUCAGGCAAGAAGUUACCAGUGCAUGGAUGACUGUGGCUAGGCUCUGUCCACCCAAGUAGGAACACAGCAGGUAAAUUAAUGUUUUUCAGAUGAUUAUCCCUAGAUACACACAAAAUAUAUACACAUCAUUCAAACAUGUAUAUGCUCCAGAGUGAAAUGAAACUAAUAAGCAACAGCAAAUCUGAAGGUGACCCAACAACCUCAGUGGAAGAGAGAUGAACUUUGUUCAAAUGGAUGAGUGACUGUCAGGAUAUCAUGCACAAUUCUUUGACUUGCUAAAAUAAAUUAGAAGUUUUUAGUAGCCUGGCUUUUUUUCUUAAAAUUUAAACAAUGUAAGGGGAGAACAUACUAUUUUCAAGGUUUUACAAAUAUUCCAAUACAAAUGCCUACAUAAUGUAACAAUAAAUCACAUUAGGUGUGGUUUGAUUUUUCCUCUCAAAUGUCAGGUCAGAUACCUGGUAUUUAUCACGAUGAAGUAUUCACAAGUUUUUAGCUUUGUUGUUUAGUAACUUCAAGUACAACAAACUUGCUAAAUUAGAACUUUCUAGGGUAUCAGAAAUGUUUCUCAUCCAGAUGUCCCUAUGAAAGUUACCCUUAUUUGCACUGGAAAAUGUUUCUGGAGAAAACAUGUCACUUCAUAACAGAAACAAAGCAUCCAACGAAGAAUUCUAGGGCAUGCAUUCAGUCCAUACGGAUGCUACUCAGGCCAGCUGCAUAUUAACAUUAGCCCCAUGUAAGUGCAGUCUACAAAGGAAGUCACAGAACCAUAGAAUGGUAGAGUUGGAAGGGGCCAGGAAGGCCAUCGGGUCCAAAUCCCUGCUGUUGCAGGACACCAGUUAACACCAUCCCACUCAGAUGGCUGUCCAGUUUCUCUCUGAAUGCCUCUACUAUGGGAGCACCCAUGACCUCUCCUGUGCCUGCAUACUUUAUGAGAACAACUGUAGGAUGGUGGUCAAGCUGUAUUUCAAGAAAUCUUUUCUACAGAUCUUCUCAACAAGAAGUUUAAAAGAACCUGUUUAGACAAAAGUGAUAAGUACUAGGCCAGAAAAUAUUGCUAAAACAGAAAUUGCCAAACGGCAAAGAGGAUCACAGACUGCACCCACGACUCUUAGUAGUUGGAACACUGAAGUGAAAGUGCCUAACAAUCUUUUGGGUUAUGUCAGAUAAUCAGGGACCCUCAAACCACGUCCAAAACCCUGCUAAUAUUCUCCUAUUUCACUGCCAUAAGCUAACUGAAAUUAUCUCAGCACAUCCUUAAUUAAUAAAUUAAUUUAUUAAAAAUAAAACCAGUUGAAAUACAGACUAUAAGCCCUAUUUGUAUCCUCAGCAAACUAAAAUAGAAUAUGGGCAUCAAAGACAGUUCUUUUCUACCUAACCAUACUGUGUAUGGGUGUGAAAACCAGAAAAUGAAGAAAGCAGACAAGGAAAAAAUGUGAUUUGCUCAAAGCAUCAUUCUGAGGAGAGCUUUGGGACUUCCCUGGACCAACAGAAAAAUGAACAAGUUGUCCUAGAUCCCAACCAAGUUUGCUUUCCUUUCCAGUGUCACAAUAAAUUGCACCAUCAUGCAGAUGCAAGCAAUCACUGAGGGGACAAUCAAUUUGUCCCAUAUGUGCAUGAAACAUAGAUUACAGAUGUUCUAGAUUAAGGAGCCUGGAAAAAUACAAAUAAAGAAACUUUCUUGUUGGAACAGACCCUGUCAUCUAUCUAGCUCAACAGCCAGUCUCCAAAAUAUGACAGCAAUCAAUACUGCAGAAAGAACUACAAGCUGCUGCUAUCAAGCACUUAAAACCCUAUCUCAGAAAAGUAUAGUUCUAAAAUCUAGUAGCUAGUUAUGCUUCAGAUGCAUAUCCCUAGUUUUCUUUCAAAUGCAAUUAAUGCGUAAAGGAAACAAGCCUUUCAUAUACCUUGUAUAAGUACAUAAUUGCCUUCUUCAGAAUGGAACACACAAGAUUUUGCAGCAUCCUGAACUAGAAUGAUCACAGGACUACAGAAAUCCAAAGCUGUACCUUACUCAUUCCAUUUCCCUUCCCCCACCAAGGAUUAUUAAAAAUUAUAAAGCUGCAAUCCUAUGAUGACCCUUAUAUAAUGACCAGUCUUUAAAAUAUAUUUUGCAAAAAUCCAGUAAGAAGAAUUCACAUACCCAUACGCUAUACAGUGCCACCCAGUUCCUAUUCAUAUUACUAAAUGGAAUGGUUCCUCCCACAUUCACUCAUGCGCUUGUUUAGGAAAUACGUGUUCACACAUACAGCAAUACUGUAUACUGUUAUACAAUAUUCUAUGAUUCCAUCAACCCACCUGGCCUAUUUAAAUGAAAUUUUCUACAGAGGUGAAUGAGUGUUGCAACCCUUUCUCUUCUCCCAGCUGCAGAUAAGGUAGGCCAUAAAAUUAACAUAUCCAGUUAGCCUUGCACAAUGUGAACAAUAUUAUUUGACUUAAUACAUGCUUUACUGCGCAAUCAAAAGGAGUCAAUGUGAGAAAGAACAGCACUAUCAAGUAAUGACAACCCUCACCCCCAUUGCCAAAGAUUGCUUAUUAGAAGAGACAGCUGAAAUCUAUAUGAAAUUUUCCAGUUACUGCACCAGAAAACAUAUAUUUCAGCUUCAGGAAUGAGAAUUGUAUUUCUAUAGAUUUUCUCUGCAUUUUAAACCUUCUUUACAACCUCUUAAUGGACCUCUGCUUGGAAAAUAUCAGAACUUGACCAGGCAUUUUGCUCUGUUUUUUGUAUCUUUGGAGAAUGUAAAAAGGCAUCAUUUCUGCAGAAAAAUGGAGGCAGUGGGGUUAUCUGAAACAUCUCUUUCACCACAGGAAAAGAGACUAGAAUAUUUCUGAAGAUUACUCAUUGACCACUUAAAAUAUAGAGAGAGCAAUCUAAACUAUGCAAGAUAUUGCUCUGCCCAACAGGAGAGAAAGUCAGUGCCACAAUCAGGACAAAUUUGCAUGAAAUAGUGACACGGAACAUCUAGAUUAAAACAAAACGUAAAAAAUGCAGCAAACACAGAGAAAUACAAAAGAGAGUGAAGACUAUCAUUCUGUCACAACAACUGCUUUUGCUUGAAACUCAAGCAGCAGGAGCUUCAUUUCAAUUAUCCGCUACCUUAUGGAUAUCCUCAGAGUAAGGAGGCAUACAGGGAUAUAACCUCCUGCUUCCUUAUUUCAAAACAAACCAGUCAGUCAGGAAAGAGUUGCAUCUGUUCCUCACUGAAAUGAACUGUGAUGAGACUUUUCAGCAGAAGAUGGUUGAUACUGAGUUUAUUGAACAACUAGUGUUUCUAACUGAUAUCACGAGCCACCUUAACAUCCUCAAUACAUCUCUUCAGGUUACAAAUCAUGGCGUUUGUCAGAUGUGCACUGCAAUUGCUGGGUUUUAGCACAAGCUCUUUGCUUGUGAAGCAGUUUGAACAUGGUGACUUUUUUCAUUUUCCUGCUUGCAAGGAGGUGUAUGAUGAACUUGGAGAUUCUGCGGAUUUUAGCCCCUAUCAACUUUACUUGGACAUGCUGAAACAUAAUGUUGAAGUACAAUUUCAUGACUUCACUGAACUUCACUCCUCACUCGUGCUAUUCAGAACAAUCAACAUUUCGAGUGUGGAACCCCACUGUCAGGUGGAACUUUAUGAACUUCAGGUUGACCCAUUUCUUCCACAGGUACAGAGUUCUUCAAAUUGCUUUCACAGGAGCAGUUUGUAUUGUUUCACAAUUUCAGGCUUUGCAUAUUGUCAAUGUUCGGCUCCACAUACAUCUAUAAACAAGCUUUUUCAAACAUGAACUUCAUCAAGUCCAAAACUCAAAACAACUGAACAGGCAAUUCACUCAAGAGUUUCCUGUGGAUGUCAACAACACAACUCAAGGCAGACAUCAAUCAGCUUGUAACGCAUUUUCAAGUUCAGACAUCCCAAUGAAGUUGCUAGGUGAACAAAAACCAGCAUAGUUUUGCCUGUGACUCCAAACUGACCAUUUCACUACAUAACUAUCUUUUCAGUCUGAACCUGUAUCCCAGCACACAGACAGUUUUGUGUCUUUGAAUUUGCACAGGAAGGCCAACUCUGAGACCUCAGUCAUUUCUCCCUCAUUUCUUCCUCCCUGUUUUCUGGCAUACAAUCCAUUUUGUUUCUUCAAACUCACAGAAAAAAGCCAAUUCUGAGACCUCAUAUUGGUUUUCUCCCUUGUUUAAUGGUUAAUUAAAUAUAUUAAUUGUGUAUUUUAAAUAAAUAUAUUGCAAACACUUUA